GUGCGUGGGGCCGGGCUUGUCCUUCCCCGAAACCCUAAAAGUGCAUGCCCAUGCACGAGUUGCUCCCCUCCUCCCAUGAAACUAAUCAUAAUUUUUUUAUUGUUUGUUUGAUUUCCUUCACUACUACUAUUUACGUAUUUGUUGUUUUAAUGAGGGAAUAGCAGUGAAAUCCUAAUUGAGAUUUUUUUUUCUUAUUUCUUUUUUCUCCUAGUUUGUUGUGUUUUGAAAAUAUAAUUCUUUGUUGAGAAAUGCUUACAAAGAGAAUGGUGAUUGUUUGAUGAUAGGAAUCUCUAUUGACAACUAUUUACAAGAUCUGUGGUUGUUUUGAGCAUGAGAGCUUGUUUGCAUAAUUUGAGUGUUGUAAAUGUUGAGUGAUAGAUCUGUCAUUCAUUACCAUUUUAGCAUGUAUUAUAUCAACUAUUUAAUUAUUCUAUAAUUUAAAAAUGAAAUGCUACAAAAAAAAUCUAUAGGCAUUUUUUAAAUUAUAAAUAAUUUAUUCAUUUUCUAUUAAAUAUUAUACAUUGUGUAUUUUAGAAAUAUAUCUAAAAUUCUUUUUUUCUUUCUCUUUGUCUUUCACUUAAUAUAUAUAUAAUUUGGUGUUUAUUUUUUUUUAUCAUUUACUUGUAAAUCUUUCAAUUAUAUAGAACCUAAUCAAAAUUUUAGCAUAAAAAAGGAUCUACAAAGAUAUCCUUGAAAAUUAAUUUUAGUUUGGCAAAGAAUGCAAUUUUAAUAGACGUUGUUUUAAAAAUAUAUAUGAAAUUACUAGUAUAUUCUAAAUAAAUUACUAAUAUAUAUUAAAAAUAUUUUAUAUUUUAUAUUUUUAAUUAUAAAUGCUACAAAAUUAUGUUAAAUUUUUUAAAAUAUCAUUAAUAUAUAUAUAUUUAUCAAAAUUUAGAAGAAUUAGAUCAAAAUAAGUAGAAGUAGGUAAAUUAAAUAAUAUCUUAUGAAAAGCUUCUACAAAGCUUUACAUACGUAGAUUUGAUUUUAUACAUAUCUAUAGGUGAUUUGUAGUUUGAAAGCUUGGCCAACAAGUUAGAUAUAUGUAAUA
rnacentral:lncRNA from 1 species